AUGCUAAGUUGCAAAACAGAAGAACGAGAAGGGCGACUCUGGUCUGGGGAGUCCCUGGGGCUGGCUGUUCGUGAGAAUACUCUCAAAGGGGCUCACCUCCCUCCAGAGGGCCAAGGACAACUGAGCUGGAGAAUGAAAAUGAAAGUGAAAAAGUCACUCAGUCGUGUCUCUCUUUGCGACCCCAUGGACUGUAGCCUGCCAAGGUCCUUCGUCCAUGGAAUUUCCCAGGCAAGAGUUCUGGAGUGGAUUUCCAUUUCCUUCUCCAGGGUAUCUUCCCGACCCAGGGAUCGAACCCCGGUGUCCCGCCUUGCAGGCAGACGUGUUAUCGUCUGAGCCACCAGGGAAGCCCCCCUGGAGAAUACUAGUGCCCAUUCCACCCUCGAGGGACAGCUUGAAAGGGAAGUGUUCCAGGAACCAGGCCCAGAGCCUAAUUGGGUUGUGACCGAGCACUCCAGCUUGAUUCCUUGGACAUAGCUACUCUCAGCCUCAUUGGAGGGUGCCACAUUCAGGCCUUGGCUUACGAGAUGGCCCUGCUAAGCUCAUAACACUUUCCCUGGGCUCCUGCCUUAGGAAGGGGACAUGUCAGGAGCUGUAGUUUCAGGCACCUUUCCUGGGAUUUCAAAUGAGACCCAACUCGGGGGGCAGGAUUUGGAAUCCCGUGGGCUGUUUGGCCCACACACCUCCCCUUGGGCCACCGUUGCUGUUGCCAUUAUUUUUAACUAGUGGGGCAAUCACUGUACCCCUUUGCACAGCUUUCAUCUGGAGAAUCUUAAAGCUCUUUACCACCAUUCCAUUCCAUCACAGCCCUUUUUAGCAACAAUCUUUUUUUUUUUUUUUUUUUGCAUUCCAAACUAUAAAAACAAAAUUCUUGGUGAGGCAAGCAGACUCCCUUCAGCCAACUAAAGGACACUCCUUGGGUAGGGAAACUCCUGCCCAUUCACUUGGGAUGGCUUUAGCUCACAUCUGCCUGAUACAUGCAAAUUCUGAGCCUGCUCUGAGCCAGCCUCUUGGGUUCCAAGCUCUUCUCUUAAAGGGAGAGUUGGACUUGAUCUGCUUCUUUUGUCUUUAGCUAAUUCCCGUUUUAUCAUUUAACAGUCUAAAUUUAGUUCAGCACUCCAUCUUCAUAGUUCUGCUUUCCAAUGUGCCAUCAGGAACAGAAGUAACUUUGAGUGGGAGGCAUUCGAGAGGGGUGGUGUGGGGCCUGGGCCAGUAGGUAGGAGGAGGGGCUGCUGUAUUAGCAGAGCUGGCUUCUGACACUUCUAGGUUGGCCUCAGACACAGAACAGACCCAAGUACCACAGAAUCCCUCUGAUCCAACUGAACAGAGGUUUAGA
rnacentral:lncRNA from 1 species